AGAGUUUGAUCAUGGCUCAGAGCGAACGCUGGCGGCAGGCUUAACACAUGCAAGUCGAGCGGAUGUAGCAAUACAUCAGCGGCAGACGGGUGAGUAACGCGUGGGAACAUACCUUUUGGUUCGGAACAACCCAGGGAAACUUGGGCUAAUACCGGAUAAGCCCUUACGGGGAAAGAUUUAUCGCCGAAAGAUUGGCCCGCGUCUGAUUAGCUAGUUGGUGAGGUAACGGCUCACCAAGGCGACGAUCAGUAGCUGGUCUGAGAGGAUGAUCAGCCACAUUGGGACUGAGACACGGCCCAAACUCCUACGGGAGGCAGCAGUGGGGAAUAUUGGACAAUGGGCGCAAGCCUGAUCCAGCCAUGCCGCGUGAGUGAUGAAGGCCCUAGGGUUGUAAAGCUCUUUUGUGCGGGAAGAUAAUGACGGUACCGCAAGAAUAAGCCCCGGCUAACUUCGUGCCAGCAGCCGCGGUAAUACGAAGGGGGCUAGCGUUGCUCGGAAUCACUGGGCGUAAAGGGUGCGUAGGCGGGUCUUUAAGUCAGGGGUGAAAUCCUGGAGCUCAACUCCAGAACUGCCUUUGAUACUGAAGAUCUUGAGUUCGGGAGAGGUGAGUGGAACUGCGAGUGUAGAGGUGAAAUUCGUAGAUAUUCGCAAGAACACCAGUGGCGAAGGCGGCUCACUGGCCCGAUACUGACGCUGAGGCACGAAAGCGUGGGGAGCAAACAGGAUUAGAUACCCUAGUAGUCC
rnacentral:rRNA from 1 species